GAAGUAAAAGUCGUAACAAGGUUUCCGUAGGUGAACCUGCGGAAGGAUCAUUCAUAAUAAGUGUUUUAUGGCACUUUUUUAAAUCCAUAUCCACCUUGUGUGCAAUGUCAGGGUUGGUUUCUCUCUUUUGAGAGAUCAACCCCAAACAUCAACUCUAUCUUAACUCUUUGUCUGAAAAAUAUUAUGAAUAAAACAAUUCAAAAUACAACUUUCAACAACGGAUCUCUUGGCUCUCGCAUCGAUGAAGAACGCAGCGAAAUGCGAUACGUAAUGUGAAUUGCAGAAUUCAGUGAAUCAUCGAAUCUUUGAACGCAUAUUGCGCUCUUUGGUAUUCCGAAGAGCAUGCUUGUUUGAGUAUCAGUAAACACCUCAAAGCCUUUUUUCUUUUUUGAAGAAAGGCUUUGGACUUGAGCAAUCCCAACACCAAUCUUUUAAAGAGAGGGGGCGGGUUGCUUGAAAUGCAGGUGCAGCUGGACAUUCUCCUGAGCUAAAAGCAUAUUCAUUUAGUCCCGUCAAACGGAUUAUUACUUUUGCUGCAGCUAAUAUAAAGGGAGUUUGACCAUUUUGGCUGACUGAUGCAGGAUUUUCACAAGAGUCUUCAAAACCUCUUGUUAAACUCGAUCUCAAAUCAAGUAAGACUACCCGCUGAACUUAAGCAUAUCA
rnacentral:rRNA from 1 species